rnacentral:rRNA from 1 species
GGUCAGAGGUGUAAGUGCGGUAACGUAUUUAGCUGACUGAUACUAAUAGGUCGAGGGCUUGACCAAUAA